CUUGUAGAAUAUGCUCUAGAGUUUAGAUCAUUGGCAGCAGAAGUGAAAUGGAACGAACAAGCUUUUAUGGAUGUAUUCUUGAAUGGGUUGUCUGAUGAAAUUCUAGAUGAGAUUGCCACAAGAGAACUUCCGGAAAAUUUAGAGGAUUUAGUAUCCUUCAUUUCCAGAAUAGAUGAACGCAUGAGACAGAGGCAGAACACUCGGGAAAGAGUUACUAGAUUUCCUGUAAGACUCGCUCCCUCAUUUCAGAACCCUGACUCCUAUAAUCCUACUCCACCAGAACCUAUGCAAAUAGGUAAUACUCGCUUAUCUGAGGCUGAGAGACAGUACAGAAGAAGGGAGGGUCUUUGUUUAUACUGCGGGCAGAGAGGUCACCUACGUCUUAGUUGCCCUAAUCGUCCGGGAAACGCUCGCACCUAAGUUCCCUUAGAGGACGGGCCUUGGGUGUUUCAUUACUGUCCUCUAUGCAUAAUAAAAAAGACCAUAGGCUUCUGAUUCCUGUCUCUCUAGCUUGGGAAAAGGGGUUUAUUUCUACGAUGGCAUUAUUAGAUUCUGGAGCAGCAGAAAGCUUUAUAGACCAAACUUUCGCUAAUAAGCAUUGUAUCCCAGUCCAAUUGAGAGAUACACCCUUGGCCGUUGAGGCCAUAGAUGGUAGACCUUUAUCUGAACCAGUAAUAUUCCAUGAGACCAAACCCGUUAAGCUUACUGUUGGUAUUUUCCACGAGGAGUUGAUUUCCCUUCUGUUAAUUUCCUCCCCGGCAGUCCCAGUGGUGCUAGGAUAUUCUUGGCUCAAGAGACACAACCCUCAGAUUGACUGGGAGGGUGGAGAAAUCGUUUCUUGGG